rnacentral:lncRNA from 1 species
GGGGGGUCUGCCCUCAUGAAUGGGUUAAUGCUCUUAUAGAAGAGGCUGCCAAGAGUUCCCUAGCCCCUUGGGCCAUGUGAAGACGCGAGGAGAAGUCAGCUACCAGGAAGAGGGCCCUCCCUUGGCCACGUUGGCUCCCUGCUUUGAGACUUCCAGCCUCCAAAACUGUGAGAAAUCAAUUCCCGUUGUUUAUAAGCCACCCAGUGUCUGGUAUUCUGUUACAGCAGCCCAAACGGACUGAGCCACAUGCCCACCUCCCCUGGCUCUCCAACCCUCAUCCCUCUUUGCAGGGAACCAGGAAGCUGGCAGCUUGGGUGGCAGCAGCUAGAUUUGAAUCCCUCAUGGCAAGAGCUGCCCGGAUGUUAAGCCAGCUUCCCUGCUCGGGAGCUCACUUGCUUUCUCCGGAUCGACCCGGUCAGGUGGAUCCUGCUGGGGAGACUCCGGCUUUGAGCUGCCCACCUUUGACGCCUCCAGGAGCAGCAGAAAAGGCUGACGUGGGAUCAGCCAGGCCUGGGAUUGAAUUCCAGUCCCACCACAGUCUAGCUGGGCAUCCACAGGCAAAUGCCUUCAUCACCCUGCGCCAUGGUUCUCAGGGAAUGUUUGUUGAUUGACUGACUGAGUGACUAAAAGAAUGAAUGAGUGAAGGAAUGAUUUAACGAAUGAAUGGCCAGCUCCAGGAUGCUGAUUGGAAGCUGGAGAGGAGGCUCCAAAUCCACCCCAGGCCCUCUAGGCCUGCCUCCUGGCCUCCCGCAGGGCCUUCCAUCUUUUGCCUCAUGGGGGUGGGGGUAGAGCAGGGGCAGGGGCUGGACUCCCCAGCCUCUGUCCUGCCCCCAAAUGCGCACAAUCUUCGUGACACUGUUUAAUUUUACAAGCCCCUCGGCUUUUAUGAGGGUUAUUUAUAAAGCUCCCGUCUUUGAUCCGCAGCAUAAGAAAGCAAACUCCUGUGUCUGAAAAUGUCACUGGGGAUUAGGGGAGCCUUUGAAGUCUCCUCCCUGCCAGCCGCCCCUGCCCAGCUUCUCCUCCAAAGGGCCUCCAAACCUGGCCAGGCCCUGGGGGCCCUCCUUUGAGGUGGAAGCGGCCCGGGUCCAGAUGAGUGACAGUCACGUGACAGCUGGAGGGGUUCAGGCUAGCUCCCCGGGUGGCGAAGAGAGGGACCAAGGAGACAGAGCCGAGAAGCCAGGAUGUUUCCUGCUCCACCUGGUUCCCCCUGCAGCGGAGCCCAGAGGGAUGAACAGGACUGCCUGGCCCGGCUCCGUUCACACACUCACAGUGGCCUCAGUGCCUCUAGGAUGUCUCCCCGCUCGCUCUCUCUGGAUCUUGCAGGACCUCCGAGCGUCUCCAGAGCCAACAGCAGGUGGGGGGUGAGAUCCCAGCUUGCCGCUCUCUGAGCUGUGUGAUCUUGGGCAAGCCCUUGCCCUCUCUGACCUGCUGUUCUCCUGUUUCCAAAACAAGACCCUCACUCCACGCAAGGUCAUGUGGGAUUAAAGGAAGUCGUUCCCAGGGGCGUGUGGGAUGCUUGGAGCCCUCGAAGGAGCCAGUGGUUCCUCCUGCCUCCUUCUCCGGAUCCUGCUUCCUAUCUCAGGCCUGAGGCGCAGAGGAGGCAAAGCCGGGGCCCCAGGGAGAGAGGCCUCAGCCAGGCCCCUGCCUGCUCCCCUGCCCAGCUUUCUCCCAGACCCAAGGCCUGGCCUCAGCCGGUGGAGGACGAGGCCGCCAUGACCGCCCACAGUGCUGGCCACCACCUCUCCCUACACCUUCUGAAGGUCACCGAGGAGGGAUGUGGUUCCUCCCUUCAUGGGGCUUCAGGGGGACAGGCAAGAAGGUAGCAGUGGGUGGGUGCAGGGCAGGGGGCUGUGUGGGGGUGAGUGGAGGCGGGGCCGUGUGAGCAGAAAGGUGAACAGACAUGCGCGAACUGGUGAACGAAUAAACAACCCGCGGUCCACUUGUACCAGCGAGGACUGCUGGCGACAGAAAGGAACGGACCCCUGACACAAGCGACAACUUUUUCCCACCCAACUGCCAGCCUCGGGAGAGUUCCGCGGAACAUAUUUACAUCUCCCUCGUGCUGUUUAAAGGCUGUGCAGGAGUCCGCUGAGAGGAUGGACCAAAUUUAUUGAACCCGUCUGCUCGUGACAGGUAUUUCGAGCGCUGAUCUCCAUUUAUAAAGAAAUGUGUCUUUCUGGGAUCUUGUGAACGAUGCCUGUCUCCUCACUAGACGGUGACCACCCCAGGGCAGAGAGGGGGUCUCGGGUUGGACCCUGGGACAAGGACUGGUGUGCAAGUGAUUGUUGAAGGAAGUGAUCCCGAGGUAGGUGAGUAAGGGAGUGGAGGAAGCAGGACAGAGAAGGAGAGGAAGCCAUGCAGGGCGCAAUUUCGGGGACAGCCUCAUGGAAGGGGGCCUCAGCCUGAUCCCACACAGGAGCUCAGGAGCGUGAAUUACACCACGGAGUUCUCCUGCCCCGAGGUGAGGGGGCUGGACUUCCACCUUCACCUGCGGCGUUGACUCAGGACCGCCCCAGUAGGGGCCGAGGAGGGCUCUGGGCACAUGCCAGCAAGGGGCUCCAGGAGCCAGAGGUCAGUUCUUUGAAGGAGUCACAGCUGAAGGCAGAUGGAGGAGAAGCGCACAGAAGCUGGCGGGGGGCACGUGGAAACGGUUGGGAGAUGGGAGCGGAGCAUUGAUUGUACCCACUGCACUUGAGGUCUCUUUUCUUCACUACCCUUUUUUUUUUUUUUUUUGAGGAAGAUUAGCCCUGAGCUAACUGCUGCCAAUCCUCCUCUUUUCGCUGAGGAAGACUGGCCCUGAGCUAACAUCCCUGCCCAUCUUCCUCUACUUUAUAUAUGGGACGCCUACCACAGCAUGGCGUGCCAAGCGGUGCCAUGUCUGCACCCGGGAUCCGAACCGACCAACCCCAGGCCGCUGGCACGGAACGUGCACACUUUAAGCGCUGCGCCACCAGGCCAGCCCCUCUUCACUAUCCCAAGUGUCCAGCAUAGAGUUUGGCACAGAACACACACUCAGGAGGGACCUGGGGAGCAAGCAAAUGAACACCUCUGCGAACGUGAGUGUAGGAAGGGCGUCAGCAGAAGGAACGGCAUCAGCAAAGGCUCAGAAGUGGGACUAGGCAGCUGUGCUCGUAUCAAUCCAGUGCGAGCCAGCUGCCAAUUUUCAGGAAUUUUGAUGAGCUCGUGUGACACUCACAUUCUGACACCAGCUGGUACUGCCAUUCAAUCUAGUUCUGAUACUUAACCACCUGGAGUUAGCCUCAGACUCCAAAGGUCAAGGGGCGCCCUCCCAAAAAGAGGGCCCUCACUUCAGACAAAGCUGCAAGUUCAGGGGUCCCUACACUUAUGACCAACUGGCUACUAAUUCAGGGGUUCCCAUGACCUCCUCAGGUUUGAUAACUGGCCAGAACACACCACAGGACUCAGGAAAGCACUAUGUGUAUGAUUAUAGUUUUAUUAUAAAGGAUAAAAUCAGGACCAGCCAAAUGAAGAGAUACACAGGAUGAGGUCUGGGACGGUCCUGAGCUCACAGCCUCCAAGCCCUUUCGUCCGUGGAAUCCGGGCACAUCAUCCUCCUGGCGCAUCAGUGAGUUCACCGACCAGGAAGCUGUCCUGAGCCUCAGUGUCCACAGUUUUUAUUGCAGUUCCAUCACACAGGCGUGACUGACUGAGCCAUUGGCCAUGUGACUGGACUCAACCUCCAGGCUUCUCCUCUGCUUGGAGUUUGGUGUGGGGGCCUGGGGGGGUCGAGGCCCCAACCUUCCAGUCACAUGGUUGUUCUCUCUGGUGACAGCCACCAUCCUGAGUCAUCUCACCUUUUAGCACAAACUCAGGAGUGACCCAAGGGGCUCAUGAACAACACACACACACUCCUCUUAGUCUGGAAAUUCCAAGCAUUUAGAGUCUCCCUCCUAGGAACCAGACAAAGGCCAGUCAAAUUAAAAGAAAAAAAAAAAAAAAGAUUUGCACCUGAGCUAACAACUGUUGCCAAUCUUCUUUUUCUUUUUCUUUUUCCUGCUUUUUCUCCCCAAAGCCCCCUGGUACAUAGUUGUGUAUUUUUAGUUGUGGGUCCUUCUAGUUGUGGCAUGUGGGAUGCUGCCUUAGCGUGGUACCUGAUGAGCGGUACCAUGUCCGCGCCCAGGAUCCGAACCCGUGAAACCCUGGGCUGACGAAGUGGGGCACAUGAACUCAACCACUUGGCCACGGGGCCAGUCCCCAGUCAAAUUCUUUAUUACAUCACGCAGAGCAAUUCUUGAAAUUUAAAUUAUAUAAACUUACAGCCAAAUAAAUCAUAGCAUAACUGUAAUAAAUACUCAAAACUCAUCAUUUCUUCAUAUUUUACUACGUUUUGCUAUCAUGUUCUUGAGGUUAUUUCCGUCUAUUGUAUCCACAUGGUGGAAACACCAUAUAAUGGUAUCUGCACCUCUAUUCCCAACUCUGCCUUCACCCACAUGUUGGUUAGUUUGAAACCAGAGUAUUUGCACCACAGAAAUUGGCAAGUGCUACAAAUCAGAGCUUCAUUUAUCACGUCGUUGAUGAUCUAAACUUAGAAAGUCACGGAGAAAAUGUUAAUAACAUAGAUUAAACUUAAAAGUCUGUUGUUUGUAUAGCCAUUACACGUGAAGAGCACAGAAAUUGGAGGAAAUGUUCUUCCAGGAUUCAAAAACCAUUAUGCAAUUCAGCAAAGAGAUUGCUCACGUCACAGACAAAUGAGUGACAUUCUGAC